rnacentral:tRNA from 1 species
GGUAAGAUAUGCAAAUGGUUGAAGAGGCGCUUUUGCUAAGGGUGUAGAUCACAUAAAACCGAUGCGAGGGUUCGAAUCCCUCUCUUACCU